rnacentral:rRNA from 1 species
GCCAGUGGCGACAGCAAGUUGAAUGCACUAGGUUUCCAUAACUCGCUUAAGUUAAGCAACGUUCUGCAUGGUUUGUGUUUGGACGGGUGAUCAUCUGGACAAUCGCGUGCCUGCUGGCU